UCUUUCCGCCGGUGGCGUCGGCGCUCACGCAGGGGCGGGUCCCGGUAGCGCGAGGCGGUGCAGGGCGGGAAGGGGAUUCGUGGCGGCGGCGGCGGCAGGGACAACAGCGACGGCGGCGGCAGGGACAACAGCGACGGCGGCGGCAGGGACAGCAGGAGCAGUAGUGCUGUCAGCGCGGCGGUCGGAGACAUGGGAGACCCGGGGUCGGAGAUAAUAGAAUCUGUCCCUCCAGCUGGCCCUGAGGCAUCUGAGUCAACAACGGAUGAAAAUGAAGACGACAUUCAGUUUGUCAGUGAAGGACCAUUACGACCUGUUCUUGAAUACAUUGAUCUGGUCAGCAGUGAUGAUGAAGAGCCUAGCACCUCUUAUACUGAUGAGAAUGUUAAACGUAAAGACCAUAUUGAUCAUCAGAAGGAUAAAGUUGCUUUAACUCUGGCUCGUCUAGCCCGCCAUGUUGAAGUGGAGAAACAGCAGAAAGAAGAGAAGAAUAGAGCAUUCAGAGAAAAAGUUGAUUUUCAGCAUGCUCAUGGGUUACAAGAAUUGGAGUUUAUUCGAGGACAUUCUGAUACAGAAGCAGCAAGACUGUGUGUGGACCAGUGGCUAAAAAUGCCAGGACUCAAAACAGGCACAAUUAAUUGUGGAACAAAAAGUUCAUUCCGAAGAGGAGGCCAAACGCGGGUGUCUGGGAAACCAAUUUUAUGUCCUAUAAUGCACUGUAACAAGGAGUUUGACAAUGGGCACCUUCUCUUAGGACAUUUGAAAAGGUUUGAUCACUCUCCAUGUGAUCCAACAAUUACACUACAUGGACCUUUCUUCAGCUCCUUUGCUUGUGUAGUAUGUUAUAAAAAAUUUGUGACUCAACAACAAUAUAGAGAUCACCUUUUUGAUAAGGAAGCCACAGAUGAUGGACAUAACAACAACCUUCUUCCUCAGAUUAUUCAGUGUUUUGCAUGUCCAAAUUGCUUCCUUCUUUUUAGCAGCAAAGAGGAGUGUUCAAAGCAUAUGUCUGGAAAGAAUCAUUUCCAUCAGAGUUUCAGACUGGGUGAUAACAAAGGAAUUGCACAUCCAAUAUCUUUUCCAUCUUUUGCAAAGAAACUUUUGAUCUCUCUGUGCAAAGAUGUUCCAUUUCAAGUUAAGUGUGUGGCCUGCCACCAGACACUGCGUUCCCACAUGGAGCUCACUGCCCAUUUCAGAGUUCGUUGUCGAAAUGCUGGACCUGUAGCUGUAGCUGAGAAGAGCAUUACCCAGGUUGCAGAGAAAUUCAUAUUAAGAGGUUAUUGUCCAGAUUGCAAUCAAGUCUUUGUGGAUGAAACCAGCACCCAAAAUCAUAAGCAGAAUUCAGGACACAAAGUCCGAGUGAUUAACUCAGUGGAAGAAUCAGUCUUACUCUAUUGCCACAGCAGCGAAGGGAACAAGGAUCCUUCUUCUGACUUGCAUUUAUUGUUGGAUCAAUCAAAAUUUUCAUCACUUAAAAGAACCAUGUCUAUGAAAGAAUCUAGCUCACUGGAGUGCAUUGCCAUUCCAAAAAAGAAGAUGAAUUUAAAAGAUAAAAGCCUUGAAGGUGUUGCUUGUGUCCAGAAAGAAAAAUCAGUAGUUAAAACUUGGUUCUGUGAAUGCAAUCAGCGAUUCCCAAGUGAAGAUGCAGUAGAAAAGCAUGUUUUCUCAGCAAACACAAUGGGUUAUAAGUGUGUGGUCUGUGGAAAGGUAUGUGAUGAUUCAGGGGUCAUUCGUUUACACAUGAGCCGGAUUCACGGAGGGGCACAUUUAAAUAACUUUCUUUUCUGGUGUCGGACAUGCAAAAAGGAGUUAACAAGGAAAGAUACUAUCAUGGCACAUGUGACUGAAUUUCAUAAUGGACACAGAUAUUUUUAUGAGAUGGAUGAGGUAGAAGGGGAAACUUUGCCAUCAUCCUCUACAACAUUGGGUAAUUUGACUGCUAACAAGCCUUCAUCAGCUAUUACUAUUAUUGAUCAUUCCCCGGCAAAUAGUUCUCCAAGGGGUAAAUGGCAAUGCCGGAUUUGUGAAGAUAUGUUUGAUUCCCAGGAAUAUGUAAAACAGCACUGCAUGUCUUUGGCAAGCCACAAAUUUCAUAGAUACAGCUGUGCUCACUGCAGAAAGCCUUUUCAUAAGAUAGAAACAUUGUACCGACAUUGCCAAGAUGAGCAUGACAAUGAGAUAAAGAUUAAAUACUUCUGUGGGCUUUGUGAUCUUAUCUUUAAUGUGGAAGAAGCAUUUUUGAGUCAUUAUGAGGAGCACCACAGCAUAGAUUAUGUAUUUGUGUCAGAAAAAACUGAAACUUCAAUUAAAACUGAAGAUGAUUUUCCAGUAAUAGAGACCAGUAACCAGUUAACUUGUGGUUGCCGUGAGAGUUACAUCUGUAAAGUCAACAGAAAAGAAGAUUAUAGCAGAUGUCUCCAAAUCAUGCUGGAUAAAGGAAAACUAUGGUUUCGCUGCAGUUUAUGUUCAGCAACAGCACAGAAUUUAACCGACAUGAACACUCAUAUCCAUCAAGUGCACAAAGAAAAGAGUGAUGAGGAGGAGCAGCAGUAUGUAAUCAAGUGUGGCACCUGCACCAAAGCAUUUCAUGAUCCUGAGAGUGCACAGCAGCAUUUCCAUAGAAAACAUUGCUUCUUACAGAAACUCAGUGUGGCUCAUUUUGGAUGUGAAAAAUCAAACCUGUACAAGUUUACUGCCAGUGCCUCACAUACAGAGAGAAAACUGAAACAGGCAAUAAACUAUUCAAAAAAUUUAGACAUGGAGAAAGGAGUUGAGAAUGACCUAAGCUAUCAGAAUAUAGAGGAAGAAAUUGUUGAGCUUCCAGAUUUGGAUUACCUGCGAACCAUGACUCAUAUAGUCUUUGUAGAUUUUGAUAACUGGUCAAACUUUUUUGGUCAUCUACCAGGGCAUCUAAACCAAGGAACAUUUAUUUGGGGCUUUCAAGGUACGGUUAAUAAGAAAAACAAAAGAAAACCGUUUUUCCCACCUCUUAGAAUAUAGUUCAGUUUAAAAGGCUCCUCUUAAACCUUCCUAGAUAGAACAUAGGAACAUAAUUGGAAUAUUGUUCUUUUGUAUUAUAGUUACUCUGCUAGAAUCGUUUUCUUUACAUGCCUCUGUGGUAAAUGUUAGCUCUAUCUGGUGACUCAAAGUUUAUGGAUCUUUUGGCCGGGCGCGGUGGCUCACGUCUGUAAUCCCAGCACUUUGGAAGGCUGAGGCGGAUGGAUCACGAGGUCAGAAGAUCGAGACCAUCCUGGCUAACAUGGUGAAACCCCGUCUCUACUAAAAAGAAAAAAAAAAAAAAACAAAAAAUUAGCUGGGUGUGGUGGCGGGCGCCUGUAGUCCCAGCUCCUUGGGAGGCUGAGGCAGGAGAAUGGUGUGAACCCAGGAGGCGAAGCUUGCAGUGAGCUGAGAUCGCGCCACUGCACUCCAGCCUGGGCAACAGAGCGAGACUCCGUCUA
rnacentral:sRNA from 1 species